rnacentral:lncRNA from 1 species
AGACUAACUUAGAUCUCUGAGUUCUAGAUUCCUCCAACUUCCUUCCAUGGAAUUACUAAAAAAAGGAACUUCUGUGUUCCUAAAGCACUAUAAGCUGAAACUAGAUGAAGUUUUUAUGAGCAAGUGCCUGAUGUAUGAGCUGCACAGAAAGUUCACCAAACCACCCAAAGCCAUUGCCAUAGGCAUCUGAACUGCAAGCCAGCACAAGAAGUCGAUGCUUUCAUACACUUUCCAAGAUGUCAGAACAAGGUUCCAAAUCAUAAUAAGAAUUCACUCCUUACCUAGAAGUAAAAAAAGAGGACACACUUUUGAACCGCUCACAUGACCACACCAUUCUGCGGGGACGUCCUUGUGUUGAGGGGAGGUCUGAAGUCCAUGGAAGAAGACGCAGUGGCUGCUGGAGCUCGUGCAGAGGAAGGGACCCUCAGAAGGACAGGUGAACUGUCGGUGGCAGGAAAAAUGGUGGGCACAUUUCCAGAAUGACAAAUGGGAGAAGCAAUCGUGACAUCUCCAGGUGGGGGAAGCAUAGGAGGAAGAGGUUGUUCUCUCAGGAAGUUGCCUCCUAGCCUCCAACGAGGCCUUUCCUAUCACUGCUCAUUCUCUUCUGUGUGUGGAU